AUUCAGUUGACGAAUCUCAAACAGGAAGAAACACGUGUCAAACUGGAU
rnacentral:hammerhead_ribozyme from 1 species